CCGUUAAGUCCAGCAGAUUUAAUAUUUAAUAACUUUUUUUGCUAUUAAAUCCACAUGUUCAUUCCAUGUCAAGCAUUCAUCAAUAACAAUACCAAGGAAUGUGGUAUUUUUUACCUGUUUUAAUUUUUCUUUGUUUAUUUCUAUUGUUACAUCAAAAUUCUGUUUUUUGUUAUAAGAUCUAAAUAGAAUAAACUUUGUUUUUGAAGUAUCUAUAGAUAAUUAAUUUAUAUUUAACCAUUCAUUUAUUAAUUUCUACUUGCAUAAUUUCAUUUAAUGUUUUAAGACAUUUGUUACUCUGAGAUAUCGUUGUGUCAUCCGCAAAUAAUAUAAAUGAAACUAUUUUACUGCAAUGCUGUAUAUAAUUGCUUUGUUUAGGAAACAAAUUCAACCGUUUUUUACUUCAUGUUUGGUUCAGCUAUUGCUUUUAGUUAUGCUAAUUACGGAUUGUAAUUGUGCGUUUGUGACACCCCAUAAAAGAAAAAAAAAA